rnacentral:rRNA from 1 species
AAUAUUGGACAAUGGGGGGGAACCCUGAUCCAGCCAUGCCGCGUGUGUGAAGAAGGUCUUCGGAUUGUAAAGCACUUUAAGUUGGGAGGAAGGGGUUGAAGCUAAUACCUUCAAUCUUUGACGUUACCAACAGAAUAAGCACCGGCUAACUCUGUGCCAGCAGCCGCGGUAAUACGAAGGGUGCAAGCGUUAAUCGGAAUUACUGGGCGUAAAGCGCGCGUAGGUGGUUUGUUAAGUUGGAAGUGAAAGCCCCGGGCUCAACCUGGGAACUGCUUUCAAAACUGGCAAGCUAGAGUAUGGCAGAGGGUGGUGGAAUUUCCUGUGUAGCGGUGAAAUGCGUAGAUAUAGGAAGGAACAUCAGUGGCGAAGGCGACUACCUGGACUGUAACUGACACUGAGGCUCGAAAGCGUGGGGAGCAAACAGG